rnacentral:rRNA from 1 species
GACAGAGGGGGCAAGCGUUGCUCGGAAUCUCUGGGCGUAAAGGGCGCGUAGGCGGGAUGGCAAGUCAGUCGUGAAAUCUCUCGGCUCAACCGAGAAACGUCGGCUGAUACUGCCGUUCUUGAGGGAUGCAGAGGAGACUGGAAUUCCCGGUGUAGCGGUGAAAUGUGUAGAGAUCGGGAGGAACACCGGUGGCGAAGGCGGGUCUCUGGGCAUUUCCUGACGCUGAGGCGCGAAAGCGUGGGGAGCAAACGGG